rnacentral:tRNA from 1 species
GGGGAUUUAGCUCAGCGGCAUAAGCGCCUGCCUUGCAAGCAGGCAGUCGUGAGCAAUCCCUG